CAGUAUAGACUGUGAGCUCUGUGGGAAUUCAGGAGACAGGCGUUGGAGAGUCAGUGUUUGUGGGACACUGGGAGUGAGAUCCGGAAAGUGAUGAUAAUAGGUUAUGCGUUUAUACAAUAUGUUAGAGUAAAGUGUAAAUAUAGUUUGGUUAUGGAGUUAUAAAGGUAGGUGAAAGUGUAAUUUGUGGGUGUCACUAGUGUUAGUGAUUUCUAUGCUAAUACUAAUUACAUCUGGGAUUAAAUGACUAGAGAUUGAGUACAGAAUUAUUUUCUAGUUUGUGAAAGUGAACACCUUAUAAUACUGCUAUAUUCCAUGUUCCUUAAAGGUAGAGGAUA
rnacentral:lncRNA from 1 species